CCGUGUUCAUUAAAUGACUGAAUGCAUCGGAGACUUGAGGGGGUCUCAUGCAUUAAUGGCAGGUCGUGCCGAAUACCUGCGGAGAUCUUAUGCCUUGAUGGCUUGGAGAUAGCAGCAGGUUGUAGUGGAGUUGUCAGGUCCCUUAGAGGGUUAGGUGAAAAUUGGAUAUUUGGCUAAGGCAUGGGCUUGGCCUGCUGUGCUCGGCC
rnacentral:lncRNA from 1 species